CCUACGUGGUGCAGCAGUGAGGAAUAUUGCUCAAUGGGCGCGAGCCUGAACCAGCCAAGUAGCGUGAAGGAUGACUGCCCUACGGGUUGUAAACUUCUUUUAUAACGGAAUAAAGUUAGACACGUGUGCCUUUUUGUAUGUACUUUAUGAAUAAGGAUCGGCUAACUCCGUGCCAGCAGCCGCGGUAAUACGGAGAGUCCGAUCGUUAGUCGGAUGUAUUGGGUUUAAAGGGAACGUCGAAGGGUCUUUAAGUCAGGUGUGAAAGUUUGCGGCUCAACCGUAAAAUUGCAAUUGAUACUGGCAGUCUUGAGUACAGUUGAGGUAGGCGGAAUUCGUGGUGUAGCGGUGAAAUGCGUAGAUAUCACGAAGAACUCCGAUUGCGAAGGCAGCUUACUAAACUGCCACUGACAUUGAUGCUCGAAAGUGUGGGUAUCAAACAGGAUUAGAUACCCUGGUAGUC
rnacentral:rRNA from 1 species